rnacentral:rRNA from 1 species
GAUGAACGCUAGCGGCAGGCCUAACACAUGCAAGUCGAGGGGUAGAAUUAGCUUGCUAAUUUGAGACCGGCGCACGGGUGCGUAACGCGUAUGCAAUCUGCCUUGUACUGAGGGAUAGCCCAGAGAAACUUGGAUUAAUACCUCAUAGUAUUAUGAUGUGGCAUCACAUUAUAAUUAAAGUUCCAACGGUACAAGAUGAGCAUGCGUCCCAUUAGUUAGUUGGUAAGGUAACGGCUUACCAAGACGAUGAUGGGUAGGGGUCCUGAGAGGGAGAUCCCCCACCCUGGUACUGGGACCCGGACCAGACUCCUACGGGAGGCAGCAGUGAGGAAUAUUGGUCGAUGGGCGCAAGCCUGAACCAGCCAUGCCGCGUGCAGGAUGACGGUCCUAUGGAUUGUAAACUGCUUUUAUACGGGAAGAAACACUGCUACGUGUAGCAGCUUGACGGUACCGUAAGAAUAAGGAUCGGCUAACUCCGUGCCAGCAGCCGCCGUAACAC